rnacentral:rRNA from 1 species
AGCAGCCGCGGUAAUUCCGAGCUCCAAUAGCGUAUAUUAAAGUUGUUGCAGUUAAAAAGCUCGUAGUUGAAUUUCGGGAUUGACACAUCGGUCGUGCCUUAAGGGGUGUGAACUGGUGUAGUCAAUUUCUCACCUUCUGGAGAACCGCGAUGUCCUUAAUUGGGUGCCGCGAGGAACCAGGACCUUUACUUUGAAAAAAUUAGAGUGUUUAAAGCAGGCAUUUUUGCUUGAAUACAUUAGCAUGGAAUAAUAAAAUAGGACGGCAUGAUUCUAUUUUGUUGGUUUCUAGGAUCACCGUAAUGAUUAAUAGGGAUAGUUGGGGGCAUUAGUAUUCAAUUGUCAGAGGUGAAAUUCUUGGAUUUAUUGAAGACUAACUACUGCGAAAGCAUUUGCCAAGGAUGUUUUCAUUAAUCAAGAACGAAAGUUAGGGGAUCGAAGACGAUCAGAUACCGUCGUAGUCUUAACCAUAAACUAUGCCGACUAGGAAUCAGACGAUGUUAAUUUUUAAUGUACUCGUUUG